AUGCACUUGCUUUGCUGCCUAGGGCUGGUCAUGUCUUGGCCAUCGGUGGUGUAUGCAACUUGUCACAACAUUCAUCUUAAUAUAUGGGCAUCCCACUGCCAAUUCCUCAAAAAUAAAGAAGAGGAUAGUCAUGCUCUCCUCACUCCUCUCUUCUCUCGUAUGAGAUUGGAUCUCACCGCCCCAUCGCCUCUGUGCACAUUGCCGAUGCGCCUCCUCACCGCCGCGGAGAUGAGUGAGUGGACGGAGCGACAACCUCCUCUGGCUGCGGACGAGAAAGAAAGCAAGGUGAGGCUGGUUCGCCGAGCACUGCGCGUGGCUGACCCCGAUGCCUCCUUCUCCCAUCGCCCUAGCUGGAGUAGAGAUGAAUAA
rnacentral:rRNA from 1 species